rnacentral:rRNA from 1 species
GACGAACGCUGGCGGCGUGCUUAACACAUGCAAGUCGAACGGUGAAGCUCCAGCUUGCUGGAGUGGAUCAGUGGCGAACGGGUGAGUAACACGUGAGCAACCUGCCCCUGACUCUGGAAUAAGCGCUGGAAACGGCGUCUAAUACUGGAUACGAGAAGGGUCCGCAUGGGCACUUUCUGGAAAGUUUUUCGGUUGGGGAUGGGCUCGCGGCCUAUCAGCUUGUUGGUGAGGUAAUGGCUCACCAAGGCGACGACGGGUAGCCGGCCUGAGAGGGCGACCGGCCACACUGGGACUGAGACACGGCCCAGACUCCUACGGGAGGCAGCAGUGGGGAAUAUUGCACAAUGGGCGAAAGCCUGAUGCAGCGACGCCGCGUGAGGGAUGACGGCCUUCGGGUUGUAAACCUCUUUCAGCAGGGAAGAAGCGAAAGUGACGGUACCUGCAGAAGAAGCACCGGCUAACUAUGUG